rnacentral:rRNA from 1 species
AUUGAACGCUGGCGGCAGGCCUAACACAUGCAAGUCGAACGAGUGGCGGACGGGUGAGUAAUGUCUGGGAAACUGCCUGAUGGAGGGGGAUAACUACUGGAAACGGUAGCUAAUACCGCAUACCAUCAGAUGUGCCCAGAGGGGAUUAGCUAGUUGGUGGGGUAACGGCGUACCAAGGCGACGAUCCCUAGCUGGUCUGAGAGGAUGACCAGCCACACUGGAAAUGAGACACGUUCCAGACUCCUACGGGAGGCAGCAGUGGGGAAUAUUGUACAAUGGGCACAAGCCUGAUGCAGCCAUGCCGAGUGUAUGAAGAAGGCUGUCGGGUUGUAAAGUACUUACAGCGGGGAGGCGUUACCCGAAGAAGAAGCACCAGCUAACUCCGUGCCAGCAGCCGCGGUAAUUC